UCAUUCAAUCGUCGUCCAUCUCCCCAAUCUAUCUCACUUGGAAAACACCCUAGUUUUUGCCUGUGAUUCAACCCUGGUUCUCGCCGGCGAUUCCAUCGUAGUUCGCGGCGGCGAUUUACAUAAAAAUCAACCAUCGUUUCAACCCUAGUUCUCGCGAAAAUCCCUAGCUCUCGUGAAAAACCUUAGUUCUUCAUGAGCUGGUUCGUGUACAACUCCUAUCACCCUUGCUUGGACGAUCCUCGUGACAUCGUGAUAAUAAUUACACGUUUGAGAGGAGGAGGAAGGCGCUACAUGAAACUUGUUCCGACAGAGACCCAGAAACAAAUUCAGAGAAAAGAGAGCAGAAGCCACCAUUCUUUUUGUUGAACCAAUUUGUUUACCAUCCGUCAUUGAAGCAGGUAAUGGUUUUGGUUUGACAUCGAUCAAUAUCGAUCCACACCCCGUGUAGUGUUCUCCAGUAAGUCUCCAGAUCCAUGUCCCCUUGGACAAUCCGGCUGACCUUGUCCUCCAGGUCAUAUAUCAGGUUUCGAUUCGUCCGUCACUGCCUUCUGGUCGGGAAAGGUAAUUGGGCAGUGAUGAGGUUAUAUUCUGAGCCCUUGAAUUCUUUGAAUUUUCGGUGGCUCUGAUGCCAUGUUGAAGGGAGAAAAUAUAUUCAUAUAUUGUAUGUUUACAGUAGAGGAAAUAACAUGCCUUAAUAGGCAGAGAGGGAAUUUACAUAUGGGAUGUCCAGAGGCCACCUACUUUAUUAAACAAAGCACCAAAAGAGAGAGAAGAAAUGGAUGAAAAUAAGAGCAAAAAACUUUAUGAGGACGAGUAUGCUCAGAAGACUGGCCUCGUGUCUACUGCGUUGUCUUUCUCAGAUGAACAAAAGAAAGAAGUGCGUAUAUAACAUUUAUAUCUCAUCUCCUCUGCCCUCCUUUGUUGUUUACCUGACUUUAUAUUAUGUAAUGUUCUUUUUACACUGUAUUGCUUACACAAACUCCUUCAAUUGGUACGGGUUUUCCUCUUCUCCAUCCACGCCACAUGCGACGAUCUUUCAGUAGUUGCGCAGAAACUAGGUUGACGCUAUCUGAUAGUCGGCUUUCUUUACAUUCUCAUGCAACUAUGCUAUUCAAGACUCUCUGCCUGAAGUUGGAUGCUCUAUCCCAUUUCCAUUUCUGUCCAAAACCGGUUAUUCAAGACAAGCAAAUGUCCCUGCUCUGGCAAUGGAGGAGGUUGCACCUCUGGCUGUAUCUGAUGCAGCUAUGCUAGCUCCGGAAGAAGUAUUUUCUGGUAAAGGCGACAUUAAAGAAGAAACUGAAUUAACAAAGGUAGAUAGAGAGAGGAGAAGGGCAAAGAAGAAAAGACAAUUUAAAGGUAAAAUGUUUACUUGAGUGUGAUUAUACUGUUAGUAUUACUGCGUAAACUAGCCCAUCAUCUUUAUUACUCCCGUCCCAAAAAAAUAAGGACAUUUGGCACGGCACGGGAAUUAAUGCAUAAUUGGUAAAGUAAGAGAGGAGGAGAAAGGUGCUUAUAUAAUAUUAGUGGAUAGUGGGACCCACAUUAGUAUUAGUGAUUAAUGGGUUGUAAUGGUGAGUCCCACGGGUACAAGUUGUAAAUUAAUUGAUACAUAUGGAUAAUGAGUUUGGUAGAACUUUCCAAAAAUAGAAAUGUGAUAUUUUUAUGGGAUGGACGAAAAAGGAAAGUUUUCUCCUGGGACGCAGGGAGUAUAUUUUAGUGUAGCGCAACGCUCUGCAUCUUUCUGCUGUAUUCUUACAGUCCCGCGGCCUCAAUUAUUUAGCAAGUGGAAGAAGAAACUGGCAGUGAAGCGGAGGAAUAUAUACGCGGAAAAAUCACACAAUUGGAGGAGGUGAGUUGAUCUUCGCUUGCCAUAUAUGAGCUUCCUAAACGCACUCCACCAUUGUAAACGCAACCUACCAUUUUUGUCAAUUUAUACACAAGAAAUUGACUGUGUUAGUAAUACACCUUCCGUCCUAUAAAAAUAUACACUUUAUUUUCGAUGUCUCAUAAAAAUAUAAACAUUUUCAUUUA